rnacentral:rRNA from 1 species
GAUGAACGCUGGCGGCGUGCCUAACACAUGCAAGUCGAGCGGAGAAUUGUUGCUUGCCACAAUUCUUAGCGGCGGACGGGUGAGUAACACGUGGGUAACCUGCCCUAAACAAAGGGAUAACAAUGAGAAAUCAUUGCUAAUACCGUAUAAGCUUACACUAUCGCAUGAUAGAGUAAGAAAAGAUUUAUCGGUUUAGGAGGGGCCCGCGUCUGAUUAGCUAGUUGGAGAGGUAACGGCUCACCAAGGCGACGAUCAGUAGCCGACCUGAGAGGGUGAUCGGCCACAUUGGGACUGAGACACGGCACAAACUCCUACGGGAGGCAGCAGUGGGGAAUAUUGCACAAUGGAGGAAACUCUGAUGCAGCAACGCCGCGUGAAGGAAGAAGGUUUUCGGAUCGUAAACUUCUAUCUACAGGGAAGAAAAAAAUGACGGUACCUGAGGAAGAAGCCCCGGCUAACUACGUG